rnacentral:lncRNA from 1 species
CCUGGAGUCCACUGAGUGAAGCCACACGGCUGGACUGCCUUGCACCUGCCAUCGGUCCGCACACCCCAUCCUGCGCCAGCCUCCAGGACACAAUGGCUUCCAGGAAGCGCCGGGGAGGGGAGAGAAAAGACUCGCAACAAUGGCCCCGGCCGGCCUGUUCUGCCCUGUCCCGCCCCAGCCUGCCACGAGACCCUGCCGAGUCCCCUCUGAGGCCGCCACUGGCACCCCAAGUGGCCAAGGCCCCCGGAGACCCUUAAGGGCUGGGAACCCCAAGGCUCCCGAGGCUGGGGCUGCAGAGUCUCGGCCCCACGGCCAGUACCACGGCCCCCACUUCUGGGCCGGAAUGGAAGGAACAGGCCUUCUCUUCAAGGCUCCCAGAGUGACCUGUCGUCACCCUCACACCUGAGGUGCUGCUGUGGCCAGCUCUGGCCCAGGUGGCCUCGUUGUCCCUGUGUGUCCUAGCUGUGGGAAGCGGGAGCAGAGAGAAGGUGUCUGUCCUGCCAGCUUCCUGCUGUCCGGUGCCGCCUCCCGGGGAACGAAGGUGCUGAUCCGGGGUGCCGGCCAUGUGGGGGUGCACAGGCUUGGGCAGGCAGCUGGGCAGGGACAGCCAGAGUGGUGUCUGGCGCUCAGGGCCGGACUACAGCUCUG